rnacentral:rRNA from 1 species
GCUUGUCUCAAAGAUUAAGCCAUGCAUGUCUAAGUAUAAGUAUUAUACAGCGAAACUGCGAAUGGCUCAUUAUAUCAGUUAUAGUUUAUUUGAUGGUCCUUGCUACUUGGAUAACCGUAGUAAUUCUAGAGCUAAUACAUGCAUCAAGCCCCGACUUCUGGAAGGGGUGUAUUUAUUAGAUGGAAACCAAUGCGGGGCAACCCGGUAUAUGGUGAUUCAUAAUAACUUUCGGAUCGAUCUUCGGAUCGAUGCAUCAUUCAAGUUUCUGCCCUAUCAGCUUUGGAUGGUAGGGUAUUGGCCUACCAUGGCUUUAACGGGUAACGGAGAAUUAGGGUUCGAUUCCGGAGAGGGAGCCUGAGAAAUGGCUACCACAUCCAAGGAAGGCAGCAGG